GAGUAACACGUUGGAACCUGCCCCAAAGUGAGGAAUAAGCCACCGAAAGGUGGUCUAAUACUUCAUAAUAUCCAUCUCGUAUGGAUUAAAGCUUUAUGCGCUUUGGAGGGGCCUGCGUAACAUUAGCUUGUUGGUGAGGUAAAAGCUCACCAAGGCUUCGAUGUUAACUGGUUUGAGAGGAUGACCAGUCACACUGGGACUGAGAUACGGCCCAGACUCCUACGGGAGGCAGCAGUAAGGAAUCUUCCACAAUGGGGCAACCCUGAUGGAGCAAUACCGCGUGCAGGAUGAAGCGUUUCGGCGUGUAAACUGCUUUUAUCACCGAAGAUUAUGACUGUAGGUGAAGAAUAAGGACCGGCUAACUACGUG
rnacentral:rRNA from 1 species